UCAAAGGAGACUGCCAGUGAUAAACUGGAGGAAGGUGGGGAUGACGUCAAGUCAUCAUGGCCCUUACGAUCAGGGCUACACACGUGCUACAAUGGCGCAUACAAAGAGAAGCGACCUCGCGAGAGCAAGCGGACCUCAUAAAGUGCGUCGUAGUCCGGAUUGGAGUCUGCAACUCGACUCCAUGAAGUCGGAAUCGCUAGUAAUCGUGGAUCAGAAUGCCACGGUGAAUACGUUCCCGGGCCUUGUACACACCGCCCGUCACACCAUGGGAGUGGGUUGCAAAAGAAGUAGGUAGCUUAACCUUCGGGAGGGCGCUUACCACUUUGUGAUUCAUGACUGGGGUGAAGUCGUAACAAGGUAACCGUAGGGGAACCUGCGGUUGGAUCACCUCCUUACCUUAAAGAAGC
rnacentral:rRNA from 1 species